AUACCCCCUAUACCCCCUAUAUACCCCCUAUACCCCCCAUAUACGCCCUAUAUACCCCCUAUACCCCUUAUACCCCCAUAUACCCCUAUACCCCCAUAUACCCCCAUAUACCCCCAUAUACCCCCUAUACCCCCCAUAUACCCCCCAUACCCCCCCUAUACCCCCAUAUAUACCCCCCUAUACCCCCUAUAUACCCCCUAUACCCCCCCAUACACCCCCCCAUAUACCCCCCAUAUACCCCCCAUAUACCCCCUAUACCCCCCAUAUACCCCAUAUACCCCCUAUACCCCCCAUAUACCCCCUAUAUACCCCCCAUAUAUCCCCAUAUAUACCCCCAUAUACCCCCAUAUACCCCCUAUAUACCCCCCAUAUAUCCCCAUAUAUACCCCCAUAUACCCCCCAUAUACCCCCUAUAUACCAUCCAUAUACCCCCAUAUACCCCCCAUAUACCCCUAUAAACCCCCUAUAUACCCCCCAUAUACCCCCCAUAUAACCCCUAUAUACCCCCCAUAUACCCCCUAUAUACCCUCUAUAUACCCCCUAUAUACCCCCUAUACCCCACCAUAUACCCCCAAUACCCCCCAUAUACCCCCUAUAUACCCCCUGUAUACCACCUAUACCCCCCAUAUACCCCCCAUAUACCCCCCAUAUACCCCCUAUAUACCCCCUAUAUACCCCCUAUACCCCCUAUAUACCCCCUAUAUACCCCCUAUACCCCCUAUAUACCCCCUAUAUACCCCCUAUAUACCCCCUAUACCCCCUAUAUACCCCCCAUAUACCCCCUAUACCCCCCAUAUACCCCCUAUACCCCCAUAUACCCCCCAUAUACCCCCUAUAUACCCCCUAUAUACCCCAUAUACCCCCCCUAUACCCCCCAUAUACCCCCUAUACCCCCAUAUACCCCCCAUAUACCCCCCAUAUACCCCCUAUAUACCCCCUAUACCCCCCCAUAUACCCCCCAUAUACCCCCUAUAUACCCCCUAUACCCCAUAUACCCCCCAUAUACCCCCCAUAUACCCCCCAUAUACCCCCUAUAUACCCCCUAUACCCCUCCCCCCCCAUAGUGGCAGCCCUGAAGCGGCUCCUCCCCUCCCCCCUCCCCUCCCCCCCCCCCCCCCCCUGCGCGGGACGAGAUCGAGGCUCCGGAUGGGGGAGGGGCAGGGGUCACGUGUCCCCCCCCCGAGGUGGGGGAGGAGCUGCAGGGGCUGGAGGAGACUCUGCUGAAGCUGAAGGAGCUGGAGCAGAGCUUCUGGCAGCUCAGAGAGACCCUGAGCAAGGCUGGACCCACAGGAGGCAGCGACACGUGAGGGGCAGGUAUGGGGCACUAUGGGGCUCUAUGGGGCUCUAUGGGUCUCUAUGGGUCUCUAUGGGGUCUCUAUGGGGUCUCUAUGUGUCCCUAUGGGGUCUCUAUGGGUCUCUAUGGGGUCUCUAUGGGGCUCUAUGGGUCUCUAUGGGGUCUCUAUGGGGUCCGUAUGGGUCUCUAUGGGGUCUGUAUGGGGUCUCUAUGGGGCUCUAUGGGGUCUCUAUGGGGCUCUAUGGGGUUCUAUGGGGUCUCUAUGGGGCUCUAUGGGGCUCUAUGGGGUCUCAAUGGGGUCUCUAUGGGGUCUCUAUGUGUCCCUAUAGGUCUCUAUGGGGUCUCUAUGGGGUCUCUGUAUGUCCCCUCCCCUCUCUCCCCCAGGCCCCUACAGACGCACCCGGACCCCCCAUUGCAAUGGUUCACCCCCCCCCACGCUUGUGCCUUCUAUAGGACCCCCCAAUCUAUGGGGCUGGGAAGGGGGGGGGGGGUCCCAGAGCUAUGGGGCAGCUUUGGGCCCCUCCCCCAUGGAUUUUGGGUGGAAAACCCAAAGAAUUGGGAAAAACCCCAAUAAAAAUGAUGCUUUUGCC
rnacentral:lncRNA from 1 species